CGUCCGUGCACGAAAGACUGAUCAAGAAGUUUGCCGAACAAAUCUUGCCAAACCCUUUUUUUCCUGGAUAUAAGGACAGAAAACCUGCUUCUCAACAUGUUUUCAUUGAGGUACUUUGAAGCAUUGGUUCUGAUACUCUUCCUCGCCAGUUUACACAUAGAGGCAAGACCACUGAGAAAGAGAACCAUCAGUGAGGUACAGCUAAUGCACAACGUUCGGGAACACAAACAAGUGGGAGACAGACAGGACUGGCUUCAGGAAAAGUUAAAGGACAUCAUCGUUGCUAGUGCCAAACCACAACAUGGACAAUCGGGAAAUAUUGUCAAUAUUUGCCCAAAGGAUGUUCAUGGAUUGAAAAAGCGGAAAAGUUGAAUUAAACCUAUUUUUUAUAUUUUAUUGUAUCAAACAGAAUGCGACAUUUGAGGAUCUGACAGUGAAACAUUUUUUCUAGCUGUUAUUAUAUUGUAUGUCUGUCCUAUUGAUAAUUUAUUAUUUUGUCAAUGUUUAAUUAGAUUUGUUAUUGUUUGUUUUCUUAUUUUAUUUUAAUUUAUUUCUCUCUCGUAUGUUAAAUAUUUGAAUUAUAUUAAAUUAAUUAAUUUGUUUACAUUAUUUUACAAUGUCUAGCGACUGUUAAAUUAAAUAUCUCAGACCAUCAUAUGGAAGAAAAUGUCUUCACACACAAGUUUCUAAAAGAGGUGAAUAUUACCUCAUACUCCCGUUCUGACUACAUGUUUUAAAUUAACUAAAUUAAUGUUUUUUACUGUGUAAACAAGGACCAACUACUGUAAACAGCUAGUCUUAUAUGUACUCUAUGUAUUGUUUCACUUGCACAUAAGAGGCAUCCUCUCAUUUAAUUAAUAUAAGGAGAAUACAUUAAUGUUUUUGCAUUCUAGUCUUGACUUGCACAAUCCUUUAUGCCUUGUAUUUUCCUCUAUACUAAAUGGUUUCUAUUGAAACAUGUUCAGUGCUGAUUAAACAUUUUAAAAUCAUA